ensembl:lncRNA
CUCACCUCUAGGGGAGUUGACCCCAGAGACUUUAUCCCUAGGGGAAUGGACCCCAGAGACCUCACCUCUUGGGGAUUGACCCCAGAGACCUCACCUCUAGGGGAGUUGACCCCAGAGACCUCACCUCUUGGGGAGUUGGACCCCAGAGACCUCACCCCUAGGGGAGUUGACCCCAGAGACCCCACCUCUAGAGGAGGGACCCCAGAAUUGGGGAGGGGUGGGGGGGGUCCUAACCCAACGAUCCUGUUGAACCGGGACCACACAUAAACACACACACACGCACAUCUACACACACACACCUACACACACACACACACACACACACACACACACACACACACACACACACACACACACACACACACACACACACACACACACACACACACACCCACACACACGAACACACACCUACACAUACAAACCUACACACACACAGCUACACAAACACACAUACACAUACACCACACACCUACACACACCACAUACCUACACACACGUCUUUAGCGCCCUCUUGUGGUCAGCUUCUCACACUGCACUUUGUAACACGGGACUCCCAUGGGGUUAUGUGUGUGGUCC